rnacentral:rRNA from 1 species
GACAAACGCUGGCGGCGUGCCUAAUACAUGCAAGUCGAACGACGAAAGCCUUCGGGCAAGUAAGAGUGGCGCACGGGCGAGGAACACGUAGAUAAUCUGCCCUUCAGUGGGGAAUAACUCUCCGAAAGGAGUGCUAAUACCGCAUAAGACCACAAGCUCUGCGGAGCAAGGGGUGAAAGGAUUUAUUCGCUGAAGGAUGAGUCUGCGUCCGAUUAGCUAGUUGGUGAGGUAAUGGCUUACCAAGGCAAUGAUCGGUAGCUGGUCUGAGAGGAUGAUCAUCCGCACUGGAACUGAGACACGGUCCAGACUCCUACGGGAGGCAGCAGUAGGGAAUAUUGCACAAUGGGGGAAACCCUGGGGCAGCAACGCCGCGUGAGUGAUGAAGGCUCUAGGGUCGUAAAGCUCUGUCGUAUGGGAAGAAAAAAAUGACGGUACCAUACAAGAAAGGACCGGCCAACUUCGUGCCAGCCGCCGCCGUAA